UAAACUAAGCUAACCAUGCCCAGGUGUUACGAGUACAUUGAGGAGAUUAUACAGAAGCAAGAGCCUAUUGAAACUGUACUUCGCCUUCUAGUGUUAUUUUCCCUUACAAAUGCUGGGUUGCCCAAGAAGAAUUUUGACUACUUGAGGCGGGAAAUACUGCACAGUUAUGGCUUUGAGCACAUGCCCUUGUUAUACAAUCUGGAAAAAGCUGGCCUUGUUAAAAGGCAGGAAUCAAGGACUAAUUGGCCUGUUAUUAGCAGAGCUCUCCAGCUUAUAGUUGAUAUAAAGGAUCCUGAAAAGUAUUAACUGCAUAAACUUCAGACUUACUUUGGCUUCUCUUUCAAGUUUCACUUAUAAAACUUUAUGCUGAAUUAAUCUCCACAAAUUUUUCAUCUUUCAGAAGCCCUGAUGAUAUAGCUUACAUCUUUGCUGGAUAUGCACCUCUUAGUAUUCGCCUGGUUCAGCAUGCAGUGAGGUCCGGAUGG